UACGAACUGUGCGAACGUUAUUCGGAACUCACUGGCUUAAAGGGUGCGUAGGCGGCUGCCUAAGUCAGGUGUGAAAUCUCCCGGCUCAACCGGGAAACUGCGCUUGAUACUGGGCGGCUCGAGUGAGGUAGGGGUGUGUGGAACUUCCGGUGGAGCGGUGAAAUGUGUAGAUAUCGGAAGGAACGCCAGCAGCGAAAGCGGCACACUGGGCCUUUUCUGACGCUGAGGCACGAAAGCCAGGGGAGCGAACGGG
rnacentral:rRNA from 1 species